GCUCCUCAGCAGCUCAUCCACGUGCAGCAAGAUCGCCUCCGGUGCCACGACUCGUCGGCGGCUCGUCGGCGGCUCGUCCAAGUGCUGCAGGCGCAACACCUCCAAGGUAUCCACACGUGCAGGAAGGAAGCGUCACAAGCCAGACUGCUAGAUCCGCGAGUUGCAACAGGCGAGGGCGUGGGAGGCGCGGCAGGUGUGUUUCUCCAAAAAGGUGUAAACCCUAGGGCGCCCCCACCCCUCUAUUUAUAGAGGUUCCUGACGGGCCUCUGGGUCCG
rnacentral:lncRNA from 1 species